AUGGAGAAAUUUAAAGGGAUGGCAAAAGAGUUGAAAGGGCCCGAGUAUGAUGUGACAACAGAGCCUCUUGACCAAGCGUUGGUCAUGAUCUCUGGAGAAGGCAGGAAACAUGGCAAGGAAGCAAUUGCAGGAGGCAUGUUCCCUAGUUCCUCCCGUAGCUCUCUCCCUGAAUACAAAGCUCGGUUAGGUAUCUCAAAAUCUUCUACAUGUAAACGCUCGACUUCAACUAUGGUUGAGAUGGAGGCGAGACUGGCGGAGUUGAGGCGAGUGGCGGCGGAGGAGAGGGCGGAGGAGAGGUGA
rnacentral:rRNA from 1 species